rnacentral:rRNA from 1 species
CCGCAAUGGACGAAAGUCUGACGGAGCAACGCCGCGUGAACGAUGAAGGUCUUCGGAUCGUAAAGUUCUGUUGUUAGGGAAGAACAAGUACCGUGCGAAUAGAGCGGUACCUUGACGGUACCUAACGAGGAAGCCCCGGCUAACUACGUGCCAGCAGCCGCGGUAAUACGUAGGGGGCAAGCGUUGUCCGGAAUUAUUGGGCGUAAAGCGCGCGCAGGCGGUUCCUUAAGUCUGAUGUGAAAGCCCACGGCUCAACCGUGGAGGGUCAUUGGAAACUGGGGRACUUGAGGACAGAAGAGGAGAGUGGAAUUCCACGUGUAGCGGUGAAAUGCGUAGAUAUGUGGAGGAACACCAGUGGCGAAGGCGAC